rnacentral:misc_RNA from 1 species
AACGCACAUUGCGCCCCUUGGUAUUCCGAGGGGCAUGCCUGUUCGAGCGUCAUUAUAACCACUCAAGCCUCGGCUUGGUAUUGGGGUUCGCGGUCUCGCGGCCCUUAAAACCAGUGGCGGUGCCAUCUGGCUCUAAGCGUAGUAAUUCUCUCGCUAUAGGGUCUAGGUGGUUACUUGCCAAAACCCCCCUAUUUUCUAUGGUUGACCUCGGAUCAGGUAGGGAUACCCGCUGAACUUAA